GUCGCUUUGGCCGAGUGGUUAAGGUGUGUGCCUACUAAAUACACAGGAGAUCAAAUCUCUCAAGCGACU
rnacentral:tRNA from 1 species